AUAUCUCUCUGUACGGGAAGGAUGAGAAGCUUCGACCAAGGUUCGAUUCGAGCGCAGCGAGAAAGCGUUGCCGCAGGCAACGACCCGAAGGGCGAAGCGCGCAGCGCUGAGUCA
rnacentral:sRNA from 1 species